AGCGAACGCUGGCGGCGUGCUUAACACAUGCAAGUCGAGUGCGCGUCUGUAGCAAUACAGAUGGCGCACGGCGCACGGGUGCGUAACACGUGGGCAAUCUGCCCUUCGAUGGGGAAUAACCUCGCGAAAGCGAGGCUAAUUCCGCAUAACAUUCCGAUGAUCUUGGUCAAUGGAUUCAAAGCCGUAAGGCGUCGAAGGAGGAGCCCGCGCACGAUUAGCUAGUUGGUGAGGUAACGGCUCACCAAGGCUAUGAUCGUUAGCUGGUCUGAGAGGAUGGCCAGCCACACUGGAACUGAGACACGGUCCAGACUCCUACGGGAGGCAGCAGUGGGGAAUCUUGCACAAUGGGCGAAAGCCUGAUGCAGCGACGCCGCGUGGGGGAU
rnacentral:rRNA from 1 species